rnacentral:rRNA from 1 species
GAUGAACGCUGGCGGCGUGCUUAACACAUGCAAGUCGAACGAUGAAGCCCAGCUUGCUGGGUGGAUUAGUGGCGAACGGGUGAGUAACACGUGAGUAACCUGCCCUUAACUCUGGGAUAAGCCUGGGAAACUGGGUCUAAUACCGGAUAGGAGCGUCCACCGCAUGGUGGGUGUUGGAAAGAUUUAUCGGUUUUGGAUGGACUCGCGGCCUAUCAGCUUGUUGGUGAGGUAAUGGCUCACCAAGGCGACGACGGGUAGCCGGCCUGAGAGGGUCACCGGCCACAAUGGGACUGAGACAGGGCCCAGACUCCUACGGGAGGCAGCAGUGGGGAAUAUUGCACAGUGGGCGCAAGCCUGAUGCAGCGACGCCGCGUGAGGGAUGACGGCCUUCGGGUUGUAAACCUCUUUCAGUAGGGAAGAAGCGAAAGUGACGGUACCUGCAGAAGAAGCACCGGCUAACUACGUG